GAGCUGGGCACUAUGGCUCACGCCUGUAAUCCUAGCUACUUAGAAGACUGACAUCUGAGAAGUGUGGUUCAACCAGCCUGGGCUUGUUCAGCCUCGACUCUUCAGAUAUAAAAGAAUGCACCUCAGGAAAACUUAAAACUCAAACCUAAAACUGCCUGAAAGAAAACGCGCUGAAAUCCAUGCCCCUUUUGUAAGUAGUUUUUGUCUGAGUCUAUUGAUAAUUCACAGGCACGGUGAUACUGGGGAAAUUCUUUCCUGCCUAGCAGGAGGCUGGCAACGUCUCGAAGCACACUUGGGAUGGGACUCGGGUCUCAGUGUGUAGGGGAGAAGAGCCCUCCUGGCCGGGACACUGGGAGACGAAUGGAAGCGGCUCUGGCUCAGCUCCAGUACACAACUCGGAGGUGGGGGGCCAGAAGGAGCAGAUGCCUAUGCCAUGCAACAAGAUGACAACAUGGAGACACUUAGCGGUAGGCUCACAGAUGCUUAGACAAAGGUUGAAAACUCAAACCUCACCACGUUUCAGUGGCCAGACAGAAUAGCAAGGCUUCCACAAACCAAUUGUUAUAUCUUAGUGCAGAACACUGUAGA